AACGAACGCUAGCGGCAUGCCUAACACAUGCCAGUCGAACGAGACCUUCGGGUCUAGUGGCGCACGGGUGCGUAACGCGUGGGAACCUGCCCGUAGGUUCGGAAUAACUCCCCGAAAGGGGUGCUAAUACCGGAUAAUGUCAUCGGACCAAAGAUUUAUCGCCUUUGGAUGGGCGCGCGUUGGUUUAGCUAGUUGGUAGGGUAAAAGCCUGCCAAGGCGACGAUCCAUAGCUGGUCUGAGAGGAUGAUCAGCCACGCUGGGACUGAGACACGGCCCAGACUCCUACGGGAGGGAGCAGUGGGGAAUAUUGGGCGAUGGGCGAAAGCCUGAUCCAGCAAUGCCGCGUGAGUGAUGAAGGCCUUAGGGUUGUAAAGCUCUUUUACCCGGGAUGAUAAUGACAGUACCGGGAGAAUAAGCACCGGCUAACUCCGUG
rnacentral:rRNA from 1 species